CCUAUUGCCACUGUCCUGAGAAAGGGUCUACGAAUGUCUGAGUCUCAGUCUCCUCCUCGACUCACAUAAUCUAGGUUUAAAUCUAGCUUUGUCACCUCGUGGCUGUGUGAUUUUUGACAAGUUACUUAAACCUGAUCCGCAGGUACUACAGCUUUAAAAUGGGGCCAACAGAAGUACCUUGAACGCAGGUGUUGCUCAGAUUUCAGGCAAUAAGCAUGAAGUGCUCACCACAGCUUCUGAUCUAUCAUCAGAGCUCGUCUCCUUGUGGUUGCUCCUGCUCUUACGAGUCGGCAUAGAAAGGAGGCUGGUGUUCCAGGCUCACCCUGGUGGCCCGUCCCAAUUGUUGAAGAAACUGAAGCUAGAAAAUUAAAGCCACAAAGCUAGGAGGCGAUGCAGCAGAAAUUUGAACCCAGGACAUGCUGGUGCGACUGCAAACCCAAGUGAUUUCCACUCUCUGUGCUGCCUCCCUGGAAGGCCUGAAUGCCUCACCUAGAUGGACGGGGCAUUGAAGACAUAGUCCCCCAGAGGACAUUCACCAGCAUCAUGCAUGGGUGGAGGCACAAAUCGUAGACAGCUAACCACCUCUGCCUCUUCACGUGAGCAGGGGGUCACAUGCCAGUUUGCAGCACUCUUGACGGGCUGUGUUGGGUCGUGAGCAUCAGUCUGGCUCAUGGCUUCCUUCAGUGCAGAGGAAGUUAACACCGGAGGGAACAGAUGAGCGGAUAAUGUGAGCCUGGAAAUAUGACUUUGCUGCACUUCACCAGAUGAGUUCGAGCGGAAUACCAGAUGGUGCUACCUCAUUUGUGUUUUUACAAAUAUGCAAUUCUUUUAUUUUUUUAAAGAAGAAAUAGAGAUCAUGUUGGUCCCAGGAAAAUAUAAAAAUUCUUAUGUUUUGCUGCAAUGUUGCCUUGUUGUCCUAUCUCAUAUAAGGAUGAUAUAAGCCUUAUUACAACAUAUAUGUGUGUUUUAAGAUUUUUAUAAUACUUUGUUUAAAAUACCCCUGUAUUUUUCCUGUUAUAAAGCAAUAUGUGUUCAUACUAAAACAUUUAGAACAUAUAGAUAAGUAAUAAUACUACCAUACUGAAUUGGCGACUGUUAACUAUUUGGUGCAUAUCCUUUCAUAAAUAUAUUGAUGCAUUUUUCUCAAGAGCUCCACUUUUAAAAUGUUCUUAACUGUACCAAAGAUGCUGAUUGGACAAAUGUUUCUUUAGGCUUUAUGAUCUUCUCAACAAACACUUUUAUUCAUCUCAUUACCGGGCACUCCUGUCCACACAAUUGCUCAUGCUGGAUAUCUAGCAGUCAGUUUUGGUACCUCCUUCUCCCCUCACCUCCCACAUCUGAUCUGUUACCAAGUCCUAUUGAUUCUACCUGUCUUCAUCCACCUUGCUGCAUCUCCACUGCCAUCACGUGCUUACUGGCCCAUGCAAAUAUUUCUUGCUGCCUGGAAUGCUCCCCUUUGUUCAUCUCCGUACCUCUUGCUCUCCCGAGGCCCCUUCCCUCUUGUCUUCACCUUCCUAAUAACUGCUUGCCCUUUAGAUUUCAUUUUUUGGUAUCAUUUCUUCCAGGAAACCCUUUCUGAUAAACCCAUCCAGACUGGAUUUGGUAUGUCUUCUGUAUGCUUUCUUAGCACCAUAUAUACGUCUCUAUUAUGCCACUUUUCACCCUGGAACUGCACCCUGUUUACCUUGCCGUGUUCCUCACUGUGUUCACUUAGCAAGUGCCUGCCCUUGCAGGUGAUUGAUACGUAUUGUUGGAUGGAUGAAUGGGCAUAGUAGGAAAUUAGGUUUAAUGGGAUCAGUUUUGGCCUCUGAGAACCAUAUUGAUUUUUGAGUAAAGGAGUGAUGCAGAAACACCUGACUUUAGAACUGGUAGUUUAUGGAGGACAAAUUGAAAAGAAAUGAGGUAAACUAAAGAGUACUACCAGGAGAUUGCUGCCUGAUUGAAGGGGAAAGUACCAACAACAUUGACUCUUGUUAUUGGGAAUAGGAAGGUACGAAUAUGAGGUCCCUCAAAUGAAUAAGCAAAGACCUGCUCCUGGUCACUCUUGGGUUAAAUAAUGCAAGUGG
ensembl:lncRNA